GCACAUCACGCCGCUAAACGCAUCUGAACCCAACAAAUUAUCCACUGCCCCGACUACGCCGCUGCCUUCCUUCCCCACCGCUGUGACGCCUCCCAGCCUCUGCCGCCGCCCCACGCGACGGACGCCAUCUCUCCCCUAUUUCCCUCUUCACCUCCACGGCCACGCCGCGUCGCCGGCCGAGCCCCGCUGCGGUCGCUAUGUUCCGCCGCGCCGCCCCUUAGCCCCACACCUAAGCCGCAGCCGAGAUGCAUCUGAGCGAGAACGAGGGGAUCGAGGGCGUGCGGUUCGCGGUGACUGGCGGGCAGGGCUUCGUCAGCGCUGCGCUAUGCCUGGAGCUGAUCCGCCGCGGCGCCCUGCAGGUCUGCUCCCUCGACGACUCGACCUGCGUGAGUGCUCCUCUUGGUCCCAGCAGCUCCUCGACGUCGGCGUCCGCUUCUUCCAAGGCAAUGAGGGAAGUAGAUGGGCAUGGCUGAUCUGUUCGUCAUGCAGUUAUGUGCUAUCUUAUUCCUUGAUGCUGAGUGUGAUUCCAUGCAUGUGCAAGCUAUAUGUACUCUUAAGCUAUUAGUGUUCUCUAACUUAUUUCCUACUAUUCCUGUAUGGUACCAUGUCAGAUUUAGAACCCAGCAAAGAAAUAUGGCAGAAAUUUGCAUAUUAAUUUUUCUUGUGCAGGUUUGAGAUAUAAAUGUCAUACAGAUGCUUCUUUGCCAUGAGUGUGUAAACUUGAUGAGGCAACAUGGUCUUCAAGCACAAGAAAUACCCAUGGACGUGAGUGCGGGCUGCUGCUCCGCCCUCCACUCCUCUGCUUGACCACCGCCGCCGCCAUGUCGAGGCCCUCGCCACCAAGCGGCAUGCUUUCCCAUGUGGUUUAGGAGGAUCAGCAGCUAAUGGCAAACGUGCUAGCAAGCCCCGAGUGCGGUGGCCCGUGCAACAUGAAGAAGACCAUCCGGACAAAGGGCAGGUACACAAAUAGCUAAGAACACAAGGAGACGUGCAGGUACCUUAAUUUUGUAAGCAAGAUCUCAAGAAAGUAUAUAGGGAGGAGAUUGACAAGGUGCAUGCAAGAUCUCAAGUUCAUUGCUGUCUUUUUCUGUAUGAACAUUUUCUUAUUUGGAGUUGCAGCCGAUUUAUGGUGUACCAACCGACUUGGCUUAGGAUGUAUUGUAGUUGGUUUGGUUGCAUCAACCAACAAGUCUUAUUAUGUAUUGCAGUUGGUUUGGUACCAUCAGCCGACUGGCCGGUUGGAAAACAAGCGGGGAAAACAUGUACUGUGAGCUCCCCUCGCAUUCAGAGUUUGGAGCUUGAUGAAUAAUGAUGUGUGAGCUUGUUGAUGAUCUGCUAUUUUUCACAAAAUUGGGACAUGUCGGAUGGUCGAUGUGAGGUUCUCAAGUAAAAAAAUUCCUCAUUUGUCCGUUGUGAUAGUCUGAUGGAAUUUUGUUGAUAAGAACCUACAAUUUCUUGGGAAUUCUUGUUGUAAAGAGCGAAGGCAUGGUUUGGUUUGCAUGACAUUAUAUCUUCAAUUGGCUGGAGAUAUAUAAAUGUUGUACUUGAUUUUCUCACCUGGCAUCUUAUCACUUCUGUGAAAGACACUUGAUUUUCUCAUAGUAAUAGUUCUUUAUUAUUGUUGAUACAUAAAUGGAUCUUUAUUGAAUGGUUCUUGUAUGUGUGUAUGGAGAAUGGUGAUUAACCUUUUAAA